AGUGAACGCUGGCGGUAGGCCUAACACAUGCGAGUCGAACGGCAGCACAGUAAGAGCUUGCUCUUACGGGUGGCGAGUGGCGGACGGGUGAGGAGUACAUCGGAAUCUACUUUUUCGUGGGGGAUAACGUAGGGAAACUUACGCUAAUACCGCAUACGACCUACGGGUGAAAGCAGGGGAUCUUCGGACCUUGCGCGAUUGAAUGAGCCGAUGUCGGAUUAGCUAGUUGGCGGGGUAAAGGCCCACCAAGGCGACGAUCCGUAGCUGGUCUGAGAGGAUGAUCAGCCACACUGGAACUGAGACACGGUCCAGACUCCUACGGGAGGCAGCAGUGGGGAAUAUUGGACAAUGGGCGCAAGCCUGAUCCAGCCAUACCGCGUGGGUGAAGUAGGCCUUCGGGUUGUAAAGCCCUUUUGUUGGGAAAGAAAAGCAGCAGGUUAAUACCCCGCUGUUCUGACGGUACCCAAAGAAUAAGCACCGGCUAACUUCGUG
rnacentral:rRNA from 1 species